rnacentral:rRNA from 1 species
UACGGAGGGAGCUAGCGUUAUUCGGAAUUACUGGGCGUAAAGCGCACGUAGGCGGCUUUGUAAGUUAGAGGUGAAAGCCUGGAGCUCAACUCCAGAAUUGCCUUUAAGACUGCAUCGCUUGAAUCCAGGAGAGGUGAGUGGAAUUCCGAGUGUAGAGGUGAAAUUCGUAGAUAUUCGCAAGAACACCAGUGGCGAAGGCGGCUCACUGGUCCGGUACUGACGCUGAGGUGCGAAAGCGUGGGGAGCAAACAGG